AUUGAACGCUGGCGGCAUGCCUUACACAUGCAAGUCGAACGGCAGCACGGGGGUAACCCUGGUGGCGAGUGGCGAACGGGUGAGUAAUGCCUCGGAACGUGCCCAGUAGUGGGGGAUAACCAGUCGAAAGACUGCUAAUACCGCAUACGACCUACGGGUGAAAGCGGGGGACCGUAAGGCCUCGCGCUAUUGGAGCGGCCGAUGUCUGAUUAGCUAGUUGGCGGGGUAAGAGCCCACCAAGGCGACGAUCAGUAGCUGGUCUGAGAGGACGACCAGCCACACUGGGACUGAGACACGGCCCAGACUCCUACGGGAGGCAGCAGUGGGGAAUUUUGGACAAUGGGCGCAAGCCUGAUCCAGCCAUGCCGCGUGCGGGAAGAAGGCCUUCGGGUUGUAAACCGCUUUUGGCAGGAACGAAACGGCGCAAGCUAAUACCUUGCGCUAAUGACGGUACCUGCAGAAUAAGCACCGGCUAACUACGUGCCAGCCGCCGCGGUAAUAC
rnacentral:rRNA from 1 species